rnacentral:rRNA from 1 species
CUGUUGGAAUACAGCGGCACAGUGGUGAGACCCCCGUUCAUGGUGCGGACGCCCAAUGCUUUGUGAUACAUUUUCGAAGAGUCGAGUUGUUUGGGAAUGCAGCUCAAAUUGGGUGGUAAAUUCCAUCUAAAGCUAAAUAUUGGCGAGAGACCGAUAGCGAACAAGUACCGUGAGGGAAAGAUGAAAAGCACUUUGGAAAGAGAGUUAACAGUACGUGAAAUUGUUGGAAGGGAAACGCUUGAAGUCAGACUUGCUGUUCGGAGUUCAGCCGCAAGGUGUACUCUCCGAGUUGCAGGCCAGCAUCAGUUUUUCGGGGUGGAAAAUCACGGUUUGAAGGUAGCAGUUUCGGCUGUGUUAUAGCUUUCCGUUGGAUACAUCCUGGGGGACUGAGGAACGCAGUGUGCUUUUAGCAGGGGUUUCGACCUCUUCACACUUAGGAUGCUGGUGGAAUGGCUUUAAACGACCCGUCUUGAAACACGGA